UACGUAGGGUGCAAGCGUUAAUCGGAAUUACUGGGCGUAAAGCGUGCGCAGGCGGUUAUGCAAGACAGAGGUGAAAUCCCCGGGCUCAACCUGGGAACUGCCUUUGUGACUGCAUAGCUAGAGUACGGUAGAGGGGGAUGGAAUUCCGCGUGUAGCAGUGAAAUGCGUAGAUAUGCGGAGGAACACCGAUGGCGAAGGCAAUCCCCUGGACCUGUACUGACGCUCAUGCACGAAAGCGUGGGGAUCAAACAGG
rnacentral:rRNA from 1 species